AAAAAGUUCAACAGCAUUUGACAUAAAAACUUAAUAUUUUAACUAUUUAAAAAGAUCACGCUUAUUUAAUCUGUUAAUCUCCUGUAUUUUGCAGGCCGGUAAUUCAUUAAUUGCAGAUCAGUAUGCUCAUUGAAAUUGAAGUUAUCGGAAGUAAACAUAAUGUGGGAGGACAAUUGUUUUAGAAUAUUUAUGAACUUUACAAAAGAAAUGCAUACGCAAAGGAACAUGCAUUAACAAA
rnacentral:lncRNA from 1 species